rnacentral:rRNA from 1 species
GACGAACGCUGGCGGCGUGCUUAACACAUGCAAGUCGAGCGGUAAGGCCCUUUCGGGGGUACGACGAGCGGCGAACGGGUGAGUAACACGUGGGUGACCUGCCCUCAGCUCUGGGAUAAGCCCGGGAAACUGGGUCUAAUACCGGAUAUGACUCCAUGACGCAUGUUGUGGGGUGGAAAGCCUUGUGCGGCUGAGGAUGGGCCCGCGCCUAUCAGCUUGUUGGUGGGGUGAUGGCCUACCAAGGCGACGACGGGUAGCCGGCCUGAGAGGGCGACCGGCCACACUGGGACUGAGAUACGGCCCAGACUCCUACGGGAGGCAGCAGUGGGGAAUCUUGCGCAAUGGGCGAAAGCCUGACGCAGCGACGCCGCGUGAGGGAUGACGGCCUGUGU